rnacentral:rRNA from 1 species
CGGGAGGCCUAAUACAUGCAAGUCGAACGGUAAGGUUCCUUCGGGAAUACACGAGUGGCGAACGGGUGCGUAACGCGUACACAACCUACCUUUAAGUGAGGGAUACCCCUGGGAAACUGGGAAUAAUACCUCAUAGUAUUAUAAAAUCUCAUGAUUUAAUAAUUAAAGUUCCGGCGCUUAAAGAUGGGUGUGCGUCUGAUUAGAUAGUUGGUGAGGUAACGGCUCACCAAGUCAACGAUCAGUAGCGGGUCUGAGAGGAUGAUCCGCCACACUGGGACUGAGACACGGCCCAGACUCCUACGGGAGGCAGCAGUAGGGAAUAUUGGACAAUGGGCGAAAGCCUGAUCCAGCCAUCCCGCGUGCAGGAUUAAGGCCCUAUGGGUUGUAAACUGCUUUUCUUAGGGAAGAAAAAGUUUGAUUUAUCAGAUGUUGACGGUACCUAAGGAAUAAGCACCGGCUAACUCCGUGCCAGCAGCCGCGGUAAUACGGGGGGUGCAAGCGUUAUCCGGAUUUACUGGGUUUAAAGGGUGCGCAGGCGGUAGAAUAAGUCAGUGGUGAAAGCCCGGGGCUCAACCUCGGAAUUGCCAUUGAUACUGUUUUACUUGAAUACGGUAAAGGUA